rnacentral:rRNA from 1 species
GACGUAGGGCGCAAGCGUUGUCCGGAUUUAUUGGGCGUAAAGAGCUCGUAGGCGGCUUGUCGCGUCGACUGUGAAAACCCGUGGCUCAACCAUGUGGUCUGCAGUCGAUACGGGCAGGCUAGAAUUCGGUAGGGGAGACUGGAAUUCCUGGUGUAGCGGUGAAAUGCGCAGAUAUCAGGAGGAACACCGGUGGCGAAGGCGGGUCUCUGGGCCGAUAUUGACGCUGAGGGACGAAAGCUAGGGGAGCGAAUGGG